GGUAGCGCCUCGUGAAUUCAUCUCCGGGGGUAGAGCACUGUUUCGGCUAGGGGGCCAUCCCGGCUUACCAACCCGAUGCAAACUGCGAAUACCGGAGAAUGUUAUCACGGGAGACACACGGCGGGUGCUAACGUCCGUCGUGAAGAGGGAAACAACCCAGACCGCCAGCUAAGGUCCCAAAGUCAUGGUUAAGUGGGAAACGAUGUGGGAAGGCCCAGACAGCCAGGAUGUUGGCUUAGAAGCAGCCAUCAUUUAAAGAAAGCGUAAUAGCUCACUGGUCGAGUCGGCCUGCGCGGAAGAUGUAACGGGGCUAAACCAUGCACCGAAGCUGCGGCAGCGACACUGUGUGUUGUUGGGUAGGGGAGCGUUCUGUAAGCCUGUGAAGGUGUGUCGUGAGGCAUGCUGGAGGUAUCAGAAGUGCGAAUGCUGACAUAAGUAACGAUAAAGCGGGUGAAAAGCCCGCUCGCCGGAAGACCAAGGGUUCCUGUCCAACGUUAAUCGGGGCAGGGUGAGUCGACCCCUAAGGCGAGGCCGAAAGGCGUAGUCGAUGGGAAACGGGUUAAUAUUCCCGUACUUGGUGUUACUGCGAAGGGGGGACGGAGAAGGCUAUGUUGGCCGGGCGACGGUUGUCCCGGUUUAAGCGUGUAGGUGUGUGUUCCAGGUAAAUCCGGUUCACUUUAACACUGAGGCGUGACGACGAGGCACUACGGUGCUGAAGCAACAAAUGCCCUGCUUCCAGGAAAAGCCUCUAAGCAUCAGGUAACAUCAAAUCGUACCCCAAACCGACACAGGUGGUCAGGUAGAGAAUACCAAGGCGCUUGAGAGAACUCGGGUGAAGGAACUAGGCAAAAUGGUGCCGUAACUUCGGGAGAAGGCACGCUGACACGUAGGUGAAGUGAUUUACUCAUGGAGCUGAAGUCAGUCGAAGAUACCAGCUGGCUGCAACUGUUUAUUAAAAACACAGCACUGUGCAAACACGAAAGUGGACGUAUACGGUGUGACGCCUGCCCGGUGCCGGAAGGUUAAUUGAUGGGGUCAGCGCAAGCGAAGCUCCUGAUCGAAGCCCCGGUAAACGGCGGCCGUAACUAUAACGGUCCUAAGGUAGCGAAAUUCCUUGUCGGGUAAGUUCCGACCUGCACGAAUGGCGUAAUGAUGGCCAGGCUGUCUCCACCCGAGACUCAGUGAAAUUGAACUCGCUGUGAAGAUGCAGUGUACCCGCGGCAAGACGGAAAGACCCCGUGAACCUUUACUAUAGCUUGACACUGAACAUUGAGCCUUGAUGUGUAGGAUAGGUGGGAGGCUUUGAAGUGUGGACGCCAGUCUGCAUGGAGCCGACCUUGAAAUACCACCCUUUAAUGUUUGAUGUUCUAACGUGGACCCGUUACCCGGGUUGCGGACAGUGUCUGGUGGGUAGUUUGACUGGGGCGGUCUCCUCCUAAAGAGUAACGGAGGAGCACGAAGGUUGGCUAAUCCUGGUCGGACAUCAGGAGGUUAGUGCAAUGGCAUAAGCCAGCUUGACUGCGAGCGUGACGGCGCGAGCAGGUGCGAAAGCAGGUCAUAGUGAUCCGGUGGUUCUGAAUGGAAGGGCCAUCGCUCAACGGAUAAAAGGUACUCCGGGGAUAACAGGCUGAUACCGCCCAAGAGUUCAUAUCGACGGCGGUGUUUGGCACCUCGAUGUCGGCUCAUCACAUCCUGGGGCUGAAGUAGGUCCCAAGGGUAUGGCUGUUCGCCAUUUAAAGUGGUACGCGAGCUGGGUUUAGAACGUCGUGAGACAGUUCGGUCCCUAUCUGCCGUGGGCGCUGGAGAACUGAGGGGGGCUGCUCCUAGUACGAGAGGACCGGAGUGGACGCAUCACUGGUGUUCGGGUUGUCAUGCCAAUGGCACUGCCCGGUAGCUAAAUGCGGAAGAGAUAAGUGCUGAAAGCAUCUAAGCACGAAACUUGCCCCGA
rnacentral:rRNA from 1 species